rnacentral:tRNA from 1 species
ACUAUUUUGGCAGAAAAAUGUAAUGAUUUUAGAAGUCAAGAAUGUAUAAUUUAAUUAUAUAGAUAGUA